AGGAAACCUUAUAGGGAUACAGAAUUAAAAUGCACGGGCAGUUGAACUGUUGGCAAUGUGACAGGUGAGAAGUUGUUUAAAUAACUGUGGGAUAACCAUGCUAUCUUCCAGAGCCACUAAGAGUGUCUCUUUUUGUAACAGAAAGUUCAGCAGUAAGCACAUCAGCUGGCAAGAGUUCAGCUAUAGACACCAAGAAUCACAACGGUACAGAGAUUAGAAGUGCACUUCAGUCUGUUUGUGCUGGGAAAAACAGUUUACCUCUUUAAUCUGUUUUUCAUCUCAGGAACUGUGAUGCUGGUUAGGUGUAAUUUCUGUAGAAAAAAAACAUUAAUGAAGUUUUUAAUCUGAAAUCACGAGCACAAAAGGAACAAAAAAAGUCAUCAGUAUUCUGACCUUCCCCAUUUUACCUGCUCUUCUUUGAUGAGUCAGAAUUUCAUUUGUUUGAAACAGGAAGGCUUGCUGUGAUAGUGAUGUAGUCCUAUUUGCACUGUUGUCUCUUUCCCACUGUUUAAAUGUCACUUGUUUAGGAUUU
rnacentral:lncRNA from 1 species